rnacentral:lncRNA from 1 species
GUGGGGCUGCUGGCUAAAUCUUGUUCUGUCANGGCUACUUGAGUUAUGGAGUUUUUACCCUAAUAUUCAAUUUUUGGGGUAGUUAUAAAAAUUAUACAAAACUAUAUUUCAUAGAUCCCUUUUGUCAGGCCCCCUAAUAUGUAACAAACUAUAGGUGGAUAUGGGGGGCAGCAUAUCCCCUGCCCCCCAAAUCCAUAUUCUAUUAGUUGAUUGCUGCCCUUAGUUGUCCUUCCCGGCCUUCUACUAAACUUUCCUGACUGGCUUCUCCUGAGAAUGGAUCGGGAGCCUCUUGCCUUGGGUUUAAUCAAGCUGAAUCCUCUGACAGACCACCUGGUCAACCUGGUCAGCUAACAGCCUGCUGGCUGUGAGGACUAUAAGCUCUUCCAACAGGACAAUAAACCCAUUUGUGUUGCUCAGCUCUGUCUCCCUAGCACAGUACCUAUCUCAUAGAAGACUCUCAGAAAAUAUUUGUUGAAGGGUUAAAAUACCAAGGCCUGUGUCAUUAUACACAAGCCACAAGAAAGGCCUUUGUUAUCUGAUGUCACUUGGUAGCAUAAAAACAAUUCUAAUAUUAAUAAACCUGAGAAAGAAAGGGUAGCACUGAGACAUUGGAAAAGAGCAAGUGAAAGAGAUGUUGAAGUGGCUGAGGCGAGUCCUGGGAAAGGCCGAAGAAGAGAGAGGGAGAAAGGGGGGUGUGCCACCUUCUCAUCUCCUCCCUGCCUCAUGCCUCCAAUCAGGCUGCUGUUGGCAGCUUGCUUUUAUCCUAUUCAGGGUCAGAGCCAUAUGUUAGGAUUGCUUGGUUCCCAAUAAAAAUGUCACAUUAGACUGACAAAAGCUGUAACUCCUUGUCCUUUUCUCUACUCCCUUCCUGGUAAAAAUAUGCUUGUCUGA